rnacentral:lncRNA from 1 species
AGUAAGUUUAUAGUCAUCAGUGUUAUAGGUCAGAUGAGUUUAGUAAUGUUAUAGUCAAUCAGUGUUAUAGGUCAGAUCAGUUUAGUAAUGUCACAGUCAUAAUCCGUGUUAUAGGUCAGAUGUAGUUAGUAUGUAAAAGUCAUGAUGUUAUAGGUCAAUCAGUAGUAAUUUUAUAGUCAAUCAGUGUUAUAGGUCAGAUCAUUUUAGUAAUGUUAUAGUCAAUCAGUGUUAUAGGUCAGAUCAUUUUAGUAAUGUUAUAGUGAAUCAGUGUUAUAGGUCAGAUCAGUUUAGUAAAGUUAUAGUCAAUCAGUGUUAUAGGUCAGAUACGUUUAGUAAUGUUAUAGGUCAGAUCAGUUUAGUAAUGUUAUAGUCAAUCAGUGUUAUAGGUCAGAUCAUUUUAGUAAAUGUUAUAGUGAAUCAGUGUUAUGGUAAGAGUCAGUUUAGUAAAGUUAUAGUCAAUCAGUGUUAUAGGUCAGGUGUGGUUAGUACUGUUAUAGUCAAUCAUUGUAUAGGUCAGAUGAGUUUAGUAAUUUCAAAGUCGAUCAAUAUCAGUGUUAUAGGUCAGAUCAGUUUAGUAAUGUCAUAGUCACAAUCAGUGUUUUAGGUCAGAUCAGUUUAGUAAUGUUAUGGUCAAUCAGUGUUAUAGGUCAGAUCAGUUUAGUAAUGUUAUAGUCAAUCAGUGUUAAAGGUGAGAUAAGUUUAGUAAUGUCAUAGUCACAAUCAGUGUUUCAGGUCAGAUCAGUUUAGUAAUGUCAUAGUUACAAUCAGUUU